ACAUUAUCCUAAAUAAAAAAAAAACCGAAAUAAUAUUCAGGCUCCUCCCAAAUUAACAAGUGCCUUUUUCAUUUUUAACACCAGGUCACCAUGACAUCAUUUGUCCUCCUGGUGGUGCUGUUGUUAGAGAUCAAGGAGACGACUAACAGAUGACUUCAGCGCAGGAGACCAGAAGAUGAGAUAAGACAAAGACCAACCCGAUGUGAAGAUCCACUCUGAGCUGCAGGAUCGCAGCUGUGUCCACGUCACUGACCAACUGAAGACCAACAGCAGAAGAUUCCAUAGGCUUCUGUUAACCAUCAGCAAUUAUCUCCCUGUCAGAGCUAAAGGUAACAAAUUUCCCUCCCCUCCCACCACCGCCCACACCCCCACUAUCAUCCUCUGGACACCAGCAUCAACU